UACGGGGGGGGCAAGCGUUGUUCGGAAUUACUGGGCGUAAAGGGCUUGUAGGUGGCCAACUAAGUCAGACGUGAAAUCCCUCGGCUUAACCGGGGAACUGCGUCUGAUACUGGAUGGCUUGAGUGUGGGAGAGGGAUGCGGAAUUCCAGGUGUAGCGGUGAAAUGCGUAGAUAUCGGGAGGAACACCAGUGGCGAAGGCGGCUACCUGGCCCACUCUUGACGCUGAGGCGCGAAAGCUAGGGGAGCAAACGGG
rnacentral:rRNA from 1 species